rnacentral:rRNA from 1 species
CGACCCCGGGUCAGGCGGGGUUACCCGCUGAAUUUAAGCAUAUCAAUAAGCGGAGGAAAAGAAACUUAUCAAGGAUUCCCCUAGUAAACGGCGAGCGAACCGGGAUAGCCCAUCUUGAAAAUCGGGCGNCCAUGGCNUCNAAUUGUAUCGGNAAAAANCNUUG